rnacentral:rRNA from 1 species
UACGUAGGGGGCAAGCGUUAUCCGGAUUUACUGGGUGUAAAGGGAGCGUAGACGGCUUUGCAAGCCAGAUGUGAAAGCCCGGGGCUCAACCUCGGGACUGCAUUUGGAACUGUAUGGCUGGAGUGUCGGAGAGGCAGGCGGAAUUCCUAGUGUAGCGGUGAAAUGCGUAGAUAUUAGGAGGAACACCAGUGGCGAAGGCGGCCUGCUGGACGAUGACUGACGUUGAGGCUCGAAAGCGUGAGGAGCAAACAGG